ensembl:lincRNA
AUGCGUGCGCAUGCGCUCUGGUCCAUGCUGGCUCACACCAUGGCUUCCAGCUCUCGUGCCCACGCAUGCGCACUUCCGUGGCUGCGAGUCCGAGCUGGGCUGCAGCUUGGCGUCCACCCCUCAUCGCCAGCUCUAACCGCCUGCGGUGUCCGCCUGGGAGCUGCUGGUCACCUGCACCAUGGGCCUCGCCUGUGCCCGGUCGCGGCUGAGAUGCUGCCACAGCGGGCGCGCUGGGCUGGCAGGGUUUCGUGGCCAGGCCUCAGCUGCAGCCGCCUCUCGGUCACACACAGGACCCUCACCCCGCUGCCAGGAAGGCUGGAGGCCCGUGUCCUGGUCACAUCCUGGGUGCCCACCGGACUGGAGGCCUCGGCUGUGAGACCUGCUGGAAACCAAGGCUGACACCCAAGCAAGAAAAGACGCCACCAGGAGAAGCUUGUGCCCUGCGACUCCGCUGUGGGGGGCCUCGGGUUCCUCCUCCAGGCAAACUGGCGCCGCUGCCGCACCUCCCACAGAGCACCGGGCCUGGGGACCCUCCAGCGUGAGGCCCACACCACCCCCAGCGUCCCUGGGCUCGCAGGUACCCGAAGGCCCUGCGGUCCCCACACAGGUUGAGCAAUGCCGCCGUGGACGUUUCCAGCUCGCGCUGACCGUGAUUCACCUACUUCCCCUCACGUUUGUUGGGCUGCGGGUGACUUGUCAUCUUUUAGGGGACAUCAUGACCUUUCUGGCGACCUCUCCAUGACGCGUUCCUGAGUCACCCUGAGAUAGCAUCUCAUUCACCUCUGUCCCCAAAACCCCUGCCCUCGUUUUCCGAUGGAAACAAGAACCUUGGCGACAGCUGCCAACCCCGACCCUGCCAUGCCUGCUGCACGUGUGAUCACUUCCAGGAAGGCCCCGUGCAGAGGCCACAUGAGGACAGCAAAGCCUGGAACUGGCUGGGAGAGGAGCCCCGGUGUGAACCUCGGCGGUUGGGGGUAGAAAGUCAGUGAUGCUGGACACUUAGCCAAGCACUUUGGGAGGUGAGAAGUUACGAAGGAGGAGCUCGGGAAGGGUUUAAGAAUCCCAGUUCAUUGCUUCGACCAGCAGAUCCCCCUGCCGUAGACACCGUGGACAGGUGCUUUUUACAGGUGGAAGGGACGUGAACAAACGGGUCCCUGCCCCGCCAGGAUCACAGUUUAGUGAGUGCAGUCAAUCAAUAUCAACCAAUAAUCAAUCAAUCUAUCUAUCUGGGAUUUGAUCGUUUGAAAUGGAGGCCCGUUGGUGCCAGUAAUUAGCAGAACCAUGCACGGCCCUGGGGUAGGGAGAGCAGGGCCAUUCUGGACUUCUCGGAUCCCAUGUAAUGUUUGAAGAAAGAGCUUACUCUGAGCCCCACUCAGAGGGUGGACGAGGACACGUGACCUCACAGCUCCCGUGUAGCCGCUGACCCUGAAUCCCAUCCCUGACCCCAGCCUGGUCCUUGGCAGUGUGUGACUUAGGGCAGCACCUGUCCUCGCUGUCCCCCAUUUCCUCGUCUGGACUCGGGGACAAUGGGCCUGCCCAGGGUCACAGUGGAGAGGCAAGGAGGUGGCACAUGGGUACUAAAAGGGAUUCCUGGUUCCGCUCCUUGACCUGUGGCACAUGUUGGCCUCCAGAGAGGCCGAGGACAGAGUCCCGGAUUCACAGACUUUAGGGGGGCCGUGGACCUCAGGGUCCUUCGACAGGGAGGUGCUGGAUGACAGGACGGUCACGACCUGGCUGCCUUGAGCUCGGUCCCAUAGUGCUAGGGAGCCGCUGGCCUCACGGUGCGCGGAGACCCUGGCUGCACCUUGAACUCUGGGUUUUAGCUGCUUCGGGCUUUUACGGGUCAGCACGGGCCACCUGCCAUGCCUGAGGACGGCUGUGCUCACAUUGGAGGCCCCAAAAGUGAGGGCAAGGGUGGAGGCCACCGCACACCUGGGGGCCUGGGAAUGGCGAAGCCACUUGGAAACAGCCCGACAGUUCCCACCCGGUCAGGCAUGGGGCACCCUGUGACCCCACGGCCCCAGCCCCAGGCCUGCACCCCGGGAGCACACACCGCCUGGUACUCGGGUGCUCACGGCGGCCUUACUCACACGGCCUGCACAGGGCUCCACCUGCGUGUCCCUGAGUGAGAUGCGGUCUGUCCGUCCACACAGUGGGACAUUGCUCGGCCACAUACAGAUACAAACCCUGAGAAGCCCGAGCAGAGUGCACAUCCCACACGGCUCCAUUUCUGCCUCAGUCAGAAGGGACAAAGCCACAGAGCCAGCGGGUGGCACAGGGGUGGCCGGGCCGGGAGCAGGGUGGAAUCGGCUGCUCAUAGGGCUGACGACAGUGACCCAAGCAUUGCAGGGCAUCGGCACGUGUCUCUGUGACACUGAAUUACAACCCACAGAACCGCACACAUGAGGUGACUUUGUGGUGCAUGACUUAGGUCCCAGUGAAACUCCAGCCCUCGCCAGAGCCCAGAUCAGUCAGCCCCAGGCUCAGGGACACCGACUGCCGUGGGGGUGGGGGGACUGCACCUUCCCCAGGAUCUGAACCUCCGGGAAGAGGGCGGGAAGAGGGGCACUGUGUACUUCCCUUUGUGGGUCUUUAAAAAUAAACGACAAACAGAAAAGAG